ensembl:snoRNA SNORA27 small nucleolar RNA, H/ACA box 27
CACCCCCCUUUCACUUUGCCAGUUGGACUUAAUGUCUUCAUUGGUCAUUCAAGUGGGGCAAAGGAAAUACCUUUUUAAAACUCAAGCAAACUGGGUGUUUGUCUUGUAACCUGUCAGAGGAAACAAAU